rnacentral:rRNA from 1 species
UACGUAGGGGGCAAGCGUUGUCCGGAAUCAUUGGGCGUAAAGCGCGUGUAGGCGGCUUGGUAAGUCUGCUCUGAAAGCCCGGGGCUCAACCCCGGGAGGCGGGUGGAUACUGCUGAGCUCGAGUCCGGAAGAGGCGAGUGGAAUUCCUGGUGUAGCGGUGAAAUGCGCAGAUAUCAGGAGGAACACCAAUGGCGAAGGCGGCUCACUGGUCCGGUACUGACGCUGAGGUGCGAAAGCGUGGGGAGCAAACAGG